UAUGUGAUCGUCUCUCGCAUAUCAAUAAGCGGAGGAAAAGAAACUAACAAGGAUUCCCCUAGUAACGGCGAGUGAAGCGGGAAGAGCUCAAAUUUGAAAUCUUAAAGGGUUUCCCUUUACGAAUUGUAGUUUAAAGAAGUGUUUUCUGUUGAGGUUUUGGUAAAAGUUCUUUGGAACAGGACAUCAUAGAGGGUGAGAAUCCCGUAUUUGACCUUUACUUUCAACUUUGUGAUACACUUUCAAAGAGUCGGAUUGUUUGGGAAUGCAGUCCAAAAUGGGUGGUAAAUUUCAUCUAAAGCUAAAUAUUGGCGAGAGACCGAUAGCGAACAAGUACCGUGAGGGAAAGAUGAAAAGAACUUUGAAAAGAGAGUUAAACAGUACGUGAAAUUGUCAAAAGGGAAGCGUUUGACACCAGUGUUGUUUUUCUGAAAAUCAAUUAAAGAACUGUUUAUGCUAAGUUGUUUAGACUUUAUCAGCUAUCUGUUUAGUUUUGAGCUUUUCUUUAAUGCACUUUUCAGUUAACAAGUCAACAUCAAUUUCUUUUGCUGUAAAAAAGCUUGAGGAAGGUGGCUUGAGAUUCGUCUUAAGUGUUUAUAGCCUCUUGCCUAUGCAGUCGGAGAGAUUGAGGUCUGCAGCGUAGAUCCUUCGGGGCUAAAUGCAUUUGUGCUAAGUUAUAGCAUUUUAUAGACAACUUGUUGACUAUGAUUUGUCUUGUAGCUUACUCGCUUAUGUUAUUUUACCUACGCUUAGGAUGUUGAUCUGUAGUGCGUGCGC
rnacentral:rRNA from 1 species